rnacentral:rRNA from 1 species
GAUACCCUAGUACACUUAAAUUUAACUAGUAACAUUAGAAUAUUAAAAGUUAUGUUCUUUAAAUUUAAAAAAUUKGGCGGUGUUUUAGUCUAGUUAGAGGAACCUGUGUUAUAAAUGAUACAACACGCAUUAUUUUACUUAUUUUAGUAGAUCAGCUUGUAUACCGUCAUUAUAAGAUAAUUUAAGAGAGAAUAUUAUUGAAAUCAU